rnacentral:rRNA from 1 species
UACAGAGGGGGCAAGCGUUAUUCGGAAUUAUUGGGCGUAAAGGGCGCGUAGGCGGCUUGGCAAGUGGAUGGUGAAAUCCCUCGGCUUAACCGGGGAACUGCAUCCGAUACUGGAUGGCUUGAGUUCGGGAGAGGGAUGCGGAAUUCCAGGUGUAGCGGUGAAAUGCGUAGAUAUCUGGAGGAACGCCGGUGGCGAAGGCGGCAUCCUGGACCGACACUGACGCUGAGGAGCGAAAGCCAGGGGAGCAAACGGG